CUACGGGUUGCACCAGUGGGGAAUCUUGGACAAUGGGCGCAAGCCUGAUCCAGCCAUGCCGCGUGAGUGAAGAAGGCCUUAGGGUCGCAAAGCUCUUUCGCCAGAGAUGAUAAUGACAGUAUCUGGUAAAGAAACCCCGGCUAACUCCGUGCCAGCAGCCGCGGUAAUACGGAGGGGGUUAGCGUUGUUCGGAAUUACUGGGCGUAAAGCGCGCGUAGGCGGAUUAGUCAGUCAGAGGUGAAAUCCCAGGGCUCAACCCUGGAACUGCCUUUGAUACUGCUAGUCUUGAGUUCGAGAGAGGUGAGUGGAAUUCCGAGUGUAGAGGUGAAAUUCGUAGAUAUUCGGAGGAACACCAGUGGCGAAGGCGGCUCACUGGCUCGAUACUGACGCUGAGGUGCGAAAGUGUGGGGAGCAAACAGGAUUAGAUACCCCGGUAGUC
rnacentral:rRNA from 1 species